UACGGGGGGAGCAAGCGUUGUUCGGAUUUACUGGGCGUAAAGGGCGCGUAGGCGGCCAGCACAAGUCAGUUGUGAAAUCUCCGGGCUUAACUCGGAAAGGUCAACUGAUACUGUGCGACUAGAGUGCAGAAGGGGCAACUGGAAUUCUCGGUGUAGCGGUGGAAAUGCGUAGUAUAUCGAGAGGAACACCUGCGGCGAAGGCGGGUUGCUGGGCUGACACUGACGCUGAUGCGCGAAAGCCAGGGGAGCGAACGGG
rnacentral:rRNA from 1 species